rnacentral:ribozyme from 12 species
CCUGAAAGAUAAACACUGAAUCAUACAAGGAAAUUAAAAUGACAUUGAACAUGAAAUCAGAGAGAAAGUAUUUUAUGUGGAUGAUAUUUCUGCAGUCUUCUUGUCUAUCCAAAGCUUUUAUGUCUUCACUUAUUCCUUCU